UACGGGGGAGCAAGGCGUUGUUCGGAUUUACUGGGCGUAAAGGGCGCGUAGGCGGUCAGCACAAGUCAGUUGUGAAAUCUCCGGGCUUAACUCGGAAAGGUCAACUGAUACUGUGCGACUAGAGUGCAGAAGGGGCAACUGGGAAUUCUCGGUGUAGCGGUGAAAUGCGUAGAUAUCGAGAGGAACACCUGCGGCGAAGGCGGGUUGCUGGGCUGACACUGACGCUGAUGCGCGAAAGCCAGGGGAGCGAACGGG
rnacentral:rRNA from 1 species